rnacentral:rRNA from 1 species
UACAAUGGCGUAAACAAAGGGAAGCGAGACGGCGACGUUAAGCAAAUCCCAGAAAUAACGUCCCAGUUCGGAUUGUAGUCUGCAACCCGACUACAUGAAGCUGGAAUCGCUAGUAAUCGCGGAUCAGAAUGCCGCGGUGAAUACGUUCCCGGGUCUUGUACACACCGCCCGUCACACCAUGGGAGUCGGAAAUGCCCGAAGUCAGUGACCUAACCGAAAGGAAGGAGCUGCCGAAGGUGGAGCCGGUAACUGGGGUGAAGUCGUAACAAGGUACC